rnacentral:misc_RNA from 1 species
UCGAAAGGUGCAUGAGUGGUGUUUGGUUUGUUACGUGUGGUUGGCUGCGGCGUUUGCAACAACUUCCAUGCUUUCAGACCUCUUCAGUUGUGCGGCAAGGCUUGUAUCGCCUUGAGCGUACUGUGGGUUUUCUGUGCUGGCUACCUAAUCAACGGUAUCGGUUGGAUCGAUCAAAGUUUGAUUUCGUCUUCCGUCGCAUUCGYGGCGUGAGGYGAACCUCGAUGCGGUCUCUUUGAUCCACCUCGUUGAAGCACGUGCUUCGACGUUGUGGCACAUUGAGCAUUGCUUGGUCUCUUGUAUACGGAACAUAUAGUGGGCAUGGAUCUAACGAUCCUCGUUUGCCCUCAUAUUAGCGUAACGCUUCUCUAACACGACUUGCGCCAAGUUUUAGCUCGUACGGACGUGGC